AAUGAACGUUGGCGGCGUGGAUUAGGCAUGCAAGUCGUACGCACAGCAAUGUGAGUGGCGCAAGGGUGAGUAAUGCGAAGGUAACCAACCCUGGAGUUGGGCAUAGCCGCGGGAAACUGCGGGUAAUACCCAGCGAUGUCGCGAGAUGGCAUCAUCUUGCGACCAAAGGUGUGAUUCCGCUCUAGGACGGGCCUUCGUGGUAUUAGGUAGUUGGUGAGGUAACGGCUCACCAAGCCUACGAUGCCUACCGGGUGUGAGAGCAUGACCCGGCACACUGGAACUGAGACACUGUCCAGACACCUACGGGUGGCUGCAGUCGAGAAUCUUAGACAAUGGGGGAAACCCUGAUCUAGCCAUGCCGCGUGAUCGAUGAAGGCCUUAGGGUUGUAAAGGUCUUUCAGUGGGGAAGAUAAUGACUGUACCCACAGAAGAAGCCCCGGCUAACUCCGUGCCAGCCGACGCGGUAAAAC
rnacentral:rRNA from 1 species